UAAUUACCUUCCAAAUACAUCAUUAUCCUCUUCCAUUUCUAUCGAGCUUUCAGUUAGAUUGAAAUACGCCCCUCUAGCACAAUUGCCAAUUCACGGGUUUCAUGUAGUCUUAUUCCAAAUCGUGGGCAUCGCCUCCCCUCCCCCUCAUCUUCGGUGAGGACAGCGUGAUAGUCCCAAGCCCACCAUCGAAUUGUUUUUCAUUUUGUGGUCACUCCACCAAUAUUUCUUUCUACACUUCCCCCGCGAGUCUUAUCACCACUGAUGGUGCCUUCCCUUUCGAGGUGAUUGAUGACUUCAAAGUUCUAGAUCUAGGCAUCGAUGGUGUCCUCCCUCUUCAUGAACGCAAGGUUUAUUUCCGAGUGAUUGCCAGAUUCAAAGUUCUAGAUCUACGCAUCGAUGGUUUCCUCCCACUUCAUGACCAUGAGAUUUAUUUCCGGGUGAUUGCCAGAUUCAAAGUUCUAGAUCUAAGCAUUGAUGGUGUCCUCCCUUUGCAUGCCCGUGAGGGUUAUUUCCAGGAACGUGAGCACUAUUUCGAGGUGAUUGGCGGAUUACAAGUUCUAGAUCUAAGCAUUUAUGGUUCUCCCCCUCUUCAUGACCGUGGGGAUUAUUUCCAGGAUUGAAAGUUCCAGAUCUAAGCAUUAAUGGUCUCCUUCAUCUUCAUGACUGCGAGGGUUAUUUCCAGGUGACUGCCGGAUUCAAAGUUCUAGAUCUAAGCAUCGAUGGUAUCCCCCCUCUUCAUGACCGUGGUGAAUAUUUUUAGGUGAUUGCCGGAUUGAAAGUACCAGAUCUAAGCAUCGAUGGUAUCCUUCAUCUUCAUGAUCACGAGGGUUAUUUCUAGGCGAUUGUCGGAUUCAAAGUUCUAGAUCUAAGCACCGAUGGUAUCCCCCUCUUCAUGAACGCGGGGAUUAUUUCCAGGUGAUUGCCCA